UCCCUUCCGUGGGAGUACGAGGCCGAGGU
rnacentral:sRNA from 1 species